rnacentral:rRNA from 1 species
CGGGGUGAGUAAUGUCUGGGAACUGCCUGAUGGAGGGGGAUAACUGCUGGAAACGGUAGCUAAUACCGCAUAACGUCGCAAGACCAAAGAGGGGGACCUUCGGGCCUCUUGCCAUCGGAUGUGCCCAGAUGGGAUUAGCUAGUAGGUGGGGUAACGGCUCACCUAGGCGACGAUCCCUAGCUGGUCUGAGAGGAUGCCAGCCACACUGGAACUGAGACACGGUCCAG